rnacentral:rRNA from 1 species
CUACGGGGUGCAGCAGUGGGGAAUAUUGCACAAUGGAGGAAACUCUGAUGCAGCAACGCCGCGUGGAGGAUGACACUUUUCGGAGCGUAAACUCCUUUUAUAUAGGAAGAUAAUGACGGUACUAUAUGAAUAAGCACCGGCUAACUCCGUGCCAGCAGCCGCGGUAAUACGGAGGGUGCAAGCGUUACUCGGAAUCACUGGGCGUAAAGAGCGUGUAGGCGGGUUAAUAAGUUUGAAGUGAAAUCCAAUGGCUCAACCAUUGAACUGCUUUGAAAACUGUUAACCUAGAAUAUGGGAGAGGUAGAUGGAAUUUCUGGUGUAGGGGUAAAAUCCGUAGAGAUCAGAAGGAAUACCGAUUGCGAAGGCGAUCUACUGGAACAUUAUUGACGCUGAGACGCGAAAGCGUGGGGAGCAAACAGGAUUAGAUACCCUCGUAGUC